rnacentral:rRNA from 1 species
CAGUAGCCGCGGGAAUACGAAGGGGGCUAGCGUUGCUCGGAAUUACUGGGCGUAAAGGGAGCGUAGGCGGACAUUUAAGUCAGGGGUGAAAUCCCAGAGCUCAACUCUGGAACUGCCUUUGAUACUGGGUGUCUUGAGUGUGAUAGAGGUAUGUGGAACUCCGAGUGUAGACGUGAAAUUCGUAGAUAUUCGGAAGAACACCAGUGGCGAAGGCGACAUACUGGAUCAUUACUGACGCUGAGGCUCGAAAGCGUGGGGAGCAAACAGGAUUAGAUACCCCAGUAGUCCCUGUCUCUUAUAC